rnacentral:misc_RNA from 1 species
AAGUCGUAACAAGGUUUCCGUAGGUGAACCUGCGGAAGGAUCAUUAACACGUAUCCAACGUUAAACCCCCCUGUGAACCUUCAGCUGUACUCGUACGUCCGUUAGAAAAAGCAGCAAUCCCUGGUAAAUCAUCGCCGACCAGUUUUCGAUUCAGGGACGUCUGCGAGGAGCGUGCAUGUUGUGCGUAGCAAGUGGCCUGGCAUCCCCAAGCAGUUAGUGUCUGAAAGUGUCAUUAAAUGUGUAAGGAUGGCGCAGUCACGAUCGUUGGAGGCCCACACGGCCGACGACCGGGUCACUGGGCGCAAGCCCCCUUAUCACAAAACCCAUGCAGGAAGACAGGACGCGUGAAAUCCGCAGUCCACCAAAAAACCGAACAACUGUUAACAAUGGAUAUCUUGGUUCUC